GUAAAGGUAAAAAUAAAAUUUAAAAAAUUAGGUGUCAGCACAAUUAAAAAUAAGAUAUCAGCACAAUAACACUCAGCAAAAUAGUCUAAUUAUCGUUAUCGAUAAAAUCCUAGAACUCACAGAGAUAUAACUUUUUGUCUAUAUUGCAAACCCUUAUUUUUUUUCCCUUUAUUUUAAUGUGCCACCCCAAAAUUUACUGUGGCCUCAUUUGGCCACCCCUGUUAAAAUUUUCUGGGGGCGCCACUGCUGUUCAGGAACAUGGGAGAGGAAAUGGGAAGGGAUCGCAGUAAAGCCCAUACACAUUUACUCAAGGCUGCUAAACUGGACCCGUAUCUCGGUUCAGCGUUUUAGUUUUCUGGGUCAUUACUAUAGUGAGUUAGAAAAAGAUCAGGGCAGAGCCAGAGGCUGCUAUAAGAGAGUGUUUGAGGAAUGGAUGUGGAAUGGAUCCACUUGAUCAGGGCCAUACACUGGAUCAGAGACAGCUCCUCACUCUAUGAGAAAGGUAAGAGUUGAACCAUAUUCAACUAAAUGGAGAAAAGAAGACUGGGACUUACAAUUAACUGUGGUGUGGUGUGCCCUUGGCCUGAACUACUGCCACCAAUCCAGACUGAUCAGCUGCCUCAAUCCUGAAGAGGAUCAGCAGCCUCUGUUGGAGAAAGCCAUACAUGUACAUUACCUGACCUGGGAUCAGUCAUUUGUAACGCUUUCAUGAAGAUGUGUUAACAGGGUGGUUUGGUUUAGCUCUGUUCCGACAGUGUGUGAAGAAUGCGAUCAUGCUCGAAUGACUGGAAUGCCCUCGGGGUGGUCUCCAUGGCAAAGGGAGUAGAAAACUUUUCUUUUGCACAAUACUGCUUUAUCAAAUCAUCAAAUAAUGUGGUUGCAUGGACCAACAUUUGGAAAUAUAGAGCUAUCGCAUGAAGCUUUUAAGAUUGUCCAGUCUCUAGAACCCCUGUAUGUGAACUGCUGGAUCAGAUAGGUAGAGUUUGGUUCAGACCGAUAGUUCAUAUAACAUCCACUGCCCUUUUUUAUUUCCAGUUUGACACACAGAACAUCAAACUUCUUUCUCAUUACACAGGCCCAGAUUGCAGAGUAAGAUGGCAGUUAUGACACCAUGGAUCUUUUCAGACAUACCACAGAACAGAUUACUCAUGUAUGUCUAAUCAUUUCUGAAAUAUACACAGUUAUUCAAAAGUUUGAGGUCUGUACAUUUUUAUGCUCACCAAUGCUGAAUUUAUUUGUUAAAAGCAUUGAUAUUAAAAUAAUUACAAUAUUACUGUAAUAUUCGGUUUAAAUUAGCUGUUUUCUAUUUGCAUAUAUUUUUAAAUGUCAUUAAUUCCUGUGAUGGCAAAGCUGUAUUAUCAGGAGCAUGUACUCAUCUAAAUUUAUGAACAGUUCUGUAGUUGCUUCUUUAUGUUCAGAUUAUUGAUCAUUGUUCUGCUUGGAGUUACAUGUUUAUUUGAUGUUAGACCGAGGGAGUGAAGGGUUAUGCAUAUUGGGAUUGCUCCACACUGCUGGACAGGAGCAACAGAGACUCCGAGAUCUACUUCUACAACAAAGUCCAGAUGAGCGCUGUCUCUGCUGCCCAGGAGGCUCGGAGCAAGCUAGGGGGACAAACACAACAUACUGUUUUAAGAUAUUGCAAGGGUAUUAAUGGGUCUGUCAUUUAUUGUCUGAUCUCAUAGCAAUUUUGUUGAAGAAAUAAAAAAAUACAAUAUUGUA